rnacentral:lncRNA from 1 species
UUAUGUUCUUAUUUCUUUUUUGUUUCCUGAAGUUAUACGGAUUUGAAGGAAGAAAAGGCUCCAUUUUGCACGAUGAUCUAUGGAGUGUAGUAGUGUGAUGAAGCCAACUCUUGGUGAAUUGAACAUUCUAUGGCUGAUUAUUAGUGCCAUACAUUUGGGUAUAUAAUAGUUAUGAUAAUAGAUAAUCAGGACUCAGGAGUGGACUAAUGACACCAGUCAAUGAAUUUGACACCGUCAGGGGCGGAUCUACACCCAGCUCGGGGGUUCCUGGGAACCCGUUCGGUUCAUACUUUAUAGUGUUAACUUAUUUAAGAAAUUCUGGAGGAAUCCUAUAAAAUUUUGUGAGGGAACCUUAUAAACAAAUGUGAAGAUGGUGCACUGGUAAAUGUCCGUGUUUAUUAAGUAUGAGGUCAUAUGUUCGAGUCUGA